rnacentral:rRNA from 1 species
UACGAACUGUGCAAACGUUAUUCGGAUUCACUGGGCUUAAAGGGUGCGUAGGCGGCCAUGUAAGUAGGGUGUGAAAUCCCCCGGCUUAACCGGGGAACUGCGCCCUAAACUGUAUGGCUGGAGUGAGAUAGGGGUGUGUGGAACUUCCGGUGGAGCGGUGAAAUGUGUUGAUAUCGGAAGGAACGCCGGUGGUGAAAGCGACACACUGGGUCUCAACUGACGCUGAGGCACGAAAGCCAGGGGAGCGAACGGG